GCUGGCGGCAUGCUUUACACAUGCAAGUCGGACGGCAGCACAGAGAAGCUUGCUUCUUGGGUGGCGAGUGGCGAACGGGUGAGUAAUAUAUCGGAACGUACCGAGUAAUGGGGGAUAACUAAUCGAAAGAUUAGCUAAUACCGCAUAUUCUCUGAGGAGGAAAGCAGGGGACCUUCGGGCCUUGCGUUAUUCGAGCGGCCGAUAUCUGAUUAGCUAGUUGGUGGGGUAAAGGCCUACCAAGGCGACGAUCAGUAGCGGGUCUGAGAGGAUGAUCCGCCACACUGGGACUGAGACACGGCCCAGACUCCUACGGGAGGCAGCAGUGGGGAAUUUUGGACAAUGGGCGCAAGCCUGAUCCAGCCAUGCCGCGUGUCUGAAGAAGGCCUUCGGGUUGUAAAGGACUUUUGUCAGGGAAGAAAAGGCUGUUGCUAAUACCGACAGCUGAUGACGGUACCUGAAGAAUAAGCACCGGCUAACUACGUGCCAGCAGCCGCGGUAAUACGUAGGGUGCGAGCGUUAAUCGGAAUUACUGGGCGUAAAGCGAGCGCAGACGGUUACUUAAGCAGGAUGUGAAAUCCCCGGGCUCAACCUGGGAACUGCGUUCUGAACUGGGUGACUAGAGUGUGUCAGAGGGAGGUAGAAUUCCACGUGUAGCAGUGAAAUGCGUAGAGAUGUGGAGGAAUACCGAUGGCGAAGGCAGCCUCCUGGGAUAACACUGACGUUCAUGCUCGAAAGCGUGGGUAGCAAACAGGAUUAGAUACCCUGGUAGUCCACGCCCUAAACGAUGUCAAUUAGCUGUUGGGCAACUUGAUUGCUUAGUAGCGUAGCUAACGCGUGAAAUUGACCGCCUGGGGAGUACGGUCGCAAGAUUAAAACUCAAAGGAAUUGACGGGGACCCGCACAAGCGGUGGAUGAUGU
rnacentral:rRNA from 1 species